rnacentral:rRNA from 1 species
UGAGUAACCUGCCCUUAACUCUGGGGAUAAGCCUGGGAAACUGGGGUCUAAUACCGGAUAUGACUCCUCAUCGCAUGGUGGGGGGUGGAAAGCUUUUUGUGGUUUUGGAUGGACUGCGGCCUAUCAGCUUGUUGGUGAGGUAAUGGCUCACCAAGGCGACGACGGGUAGCCGGCCUGAGAGGGUGACCGGCCACACUGGGACUGAGACACGGCCCAGACUCCUACGGGAGGCAG